CUGAGUAAUUGGGUCUCUAAGGCCCAUACUCCCACCCUUUGUGUACCUUACCAAACCUUUUAGUUGCCUUGGUGGGACCUAACCCCCUAUUCGGGGGGCGGGCCUGCCAGGGGGACACCCCCUAAACUCUUAUGAAUUGGGUCGUCUGAGAACAAAAACAAAUGAAUUA
rnacentral:misc_RNA from 1 species